rnacentral:rRNA from 13 species
GUCGGCCCGCGGAAUUCAGCUCGGAAGGCCGGCGCGAGCGGCGGGCAAGAGAUCUGAUGGGACUCUCCCGUCGUUCGACCGCUGGUCGGCCGUGUGCACUUUCCGCGGGCAGAGCGCCACGACCGGUUCCCGGGCGGUCAGAAGGCGGCGAGGAAGGUAGGUGGUUGCUCCGGCGGCCACUGUUACAGCCUCGCCUGUCCCGAUCCGCCGGGGGACCGAGGAGCCGCCGUCGGUCGCGGCCACUCCGCUCUCUCGGGGAGUUCGACUGGCAGAGACUGGGCAACCGUGUCUGCCGACCGCUCUCUGGGAUGGUCGGAGCGGGCCUGGCCGGCACAGGGUCGGUGGCGAAUCGGUCGGCCCUCCACCCGACCCGUCUUGAAACACGGACCAAGGAGUCUAACAUGCGCGCGAGUCGUUGGGUAGUACGAAACCCGAAGGCGAAGUGAAAGCGAGGGCGCGCCUCUGGUGCGCUCAGGUGGGAUCCCGCUCCUCACGGGGAGUGGGCGCACCGCCGGCCCGUCUCGUCCGCGCUGUCGGUGAGGCGGAGCAAGAGCGUGCAC